UACGUAGGGCGCAAGCGUUUGUCCGGAAUUAUUGGGCGUAAAGAGCUCGUAGGCGGCUUGUCACGUCGGGUGUGAAAGCCCGGGGCUUAACCCCGGGUCUGCAUUCGAUACGGGCUAGCUAGAGUGUGGUAGGGGAGACUGGAAUUCCUGGUGUAGCGGUGAAAUGCGCAGAUAUCAGGAGGAACACCGGUGGCGAAGGCGGGUCUCUGGGCCGAUACUGACGCUGAGGAGCGAAAGCGUGGGGAGCGAACAGG
rnacentral:rRNA from 1 species